rnacentral:rRNA from 1 species
UACGUAGGGUGCAAGCGUUGUCCGGAAUUAUGGGGCGUAAAGAGCUCGUAGGCGGUUUGUCGCGUCUGCUGUGAAAUCCCAGGGCUUAACCCUGGGCCUGCAGUGGGUACGGGCAAACUAGAGUGCGGUAGGGGAGAUCGGAAUUCCUGGUGUAGCGGUGAAAUGCGCAGAUAUCAGGAGGAACACCGGUGGCGAAGGCGGAUCUCUGGGCCGUAACUGACGCUGAGGAGCGAAAGCCAGGGGAGCAAACGGG